AUCUUCGCCGUCUGCAGUUCGGCUCAAAUGUACAUGAGAAUGGAAGCACACCCAGGCAGCUGCCUUAAUGCUAAUGAACAGAUGUUGCUCUGCUGCUGGAGUCAGCAUGAUGGACUGAGUUGCUGGCAGGCCCACCCUUCUGCUGCGAAGAAGUGAGAAGGGUCAUCUGGACACAGAACAGCAUGCAGGGGUGCCUUGACUCAUCUGUGUUUCCAACUUUUUUUCCUUGUUGAUGCCCUCAUCUCUGACAUUCAAAAGCCUUUUAAGCCCAAAACCCCACACACUAAACUCUACCACCCACUGUCCUGUCCAUCUGAGGCCUUGUCAGCCAUUCUGUUCAACUGAUCACUUACCUGUAAUGUGCCCUUGUCCAUAACCGGAGAGGCCAGCAACUGAAAAGGUCAAAAUGUUUAUAAUAAGGUCAACAAGACCUCUGAGAGGAGAGGGAGGAUCAGAGUCAGGAGUGAUGGAAAAGUGUUUCCAAGCAACUGUAGCUUAGGCAGCCGAGCAGAUUUUCAUUACUCACAGUUGGUGGUCUCAUCGCAGGCCACUAUGCAUGCCAAAGUGUCUAAACACUAAGUUGAACCAAUUCUUUCUAGUUUACUGAGUUGACUCAACCUAUCAAAGCAUUACAUUGCUCCUAGACCACUUCAGGCAUUUGACUGUCCCUGACCAGUCCAAGGAAAAUAACUACAAAAAGGAAAUUAAGCAUACAUAAACAUGUAAUAUGCACAGUUUAAUUAGUAGAAUAAAUUAUAGUUAGCAACUAUUGUUUAUUGUAUUUCGUUUUCUUUUUAAGUUUGCACUUUGCUAUGUAUGACACAGCGUAACACAUCAGCACAGAAGAGAAUGUUAUUUCUGUGUUUAUGAUAUUCUUUCCAAAUUGUAUGUUAAAAGUUGUUGUGACAUUUGUGAUCCAAAAACUGGAAAUACAAAUACAAUGUGCUGCAGGAAACCCAACUGGAGUUAUUGCAGUGCAAAAGAGGUCGGACAUUCCGUCCCACAUUUUUUUUCCCCUGAAAAUCUAAAACCGUGGAAACAUUUUGCACAGAAAGGGAAAGAGUGAAUAGUGUGAAGUUUUACUAAGAGGGUCAUGUCACCAUACAUGGUUUUCUAUGUGUGGUGACCCUGAAUAUGAAGAACUGACUAUGUUUUGGUGGCAUUGAAAUGUCUUUAGUUUUGGUGCACAAUGACUAAAUUAACAUCUGCAUGAAAGUUACUUGAGGCAAUGUCUUCCAAACCACGUGUUGUUCUUUCUCUAGAUGAGUGAGAAGCUAUGCUGCAAAAUGAUGUGAAACAAAUCUUACAACUACACAGAUUUAACAGAUGCUUGCAUAAGAGAACACAUUAGGGAGCACUAUGAGGUUCUCUAUAUUGACCAAGACCAAUGAGAAACCAUGCAAAUCAAUUCACAUGAAAAAACAUUAUGUAUGCUUUGAUUUAAAUAGGCAAUAAUUGUUUGAAAAUGAAAUAAGUACACACUGGGAUAUUUUAUGCAGAUGUUCACUUCUAGUUUAUUUGUAAAAUCCUACUUUGUUUUCCACUUUUAGAUCCAAAGGUAUGACGUUUUCUAAAGUGGAGAAGAUCAAAUAUGUGGCAAAGCUGUAUUAAAGAGAAAAUUACUGUCUGUGUGGGCAGCAAAGUUCA